GUGCUUGCUUUUGGCAGCACUUAUGCUAAAUUUGGAAUGAUACAGAGAAAACUAGCAUGGCCACUGUACAAGGAUGACACAUAAAUUUGUGAAGUAGUCUAUAUUUUU
ensembl:snRNA U6 U6 spliceosomal RNA